AACGAACGCUGGCGGCAGGCCUAACACAUGCAAGUCGAACGAUAAGCCACCUUCGGGUGGUGGACAGUGGCAGACGGGUGAGUAACGCGUGGGAACGUGCCUUUCGGUUCGGAAUAACCCAGGGAAACUUGGGCUAAUACCGGAUACGCCCUUCGGGGGAAAGAUUCAUUGCCGAAAGAUCGGCCCGCGUCGGAUUAGCUAGUUGGUGGGGUAAUGGCUCACCAAGGCGACGAUCCGUAGCUGGUCUGAGAGGAUGACCAGCCACACUGGGACUGAGACACGGCCCAGACUCCUACGGGUGGCAGCCUGAGACGCCAAGGCACACAGGGGAUAGG
rnacentral:rRNA from 1 species